rnacentral:rRNA from 1 species
AACGAACGCUGGCGGCAGGCCUAACACAUGCAAGUCGAACGGACCCUUCGGGGUUAGUGGCGCACGGGUGAGUAACACGUGGGAAUAUGCCCUUAGGUACGGGACAACAGCUGGAAACGGCUGCUAAUACCGUAUGAUAUCGAGAGAUCAAAGAUUUAUCGCCUAAGGAUUAGCCCGCGUUAGAUUAGGUAGUUGGUGGGGUAAGAGCCUACCAAGCCUACGGUCUAUAGCUGGUCUCAGAGGAUGAUCAGCCACACUGGAACUGAGACACGGUCCAGACUCCUACGGGAGGCAGCAGUGAGGAAUAUUGGACAAUGGGCGAAAGCCUGAUCCAGCCAUGCCGCGUGAAUGAUGAAGGCCUUAGGGUUGUAAAGUUCUUUUAGUAGUGAAGAUGAUGACGGUAACUACAGAAAAAGCCCCGGCUAACUCCGUGCCAGCCGCCGCGGUAAAAC